GUGGCCAAAGGAAAAAGCAUUUUUCAAAACUGUUUUCAGAACUUUAACUUGGGAUUCAAUGAUGAAGAUGACUGCGGAGUACAUCUAGAAACUACUUUUAUUGGAAAAGAUGGACUUAUCAAGGAAGAUAUGAGUAGAGCAAAAGUGAAUUAAUAUUCUGGAGAAUCAGGGUAUCAGACCUGCAAACAACAUGGAUUCACACAGA
rnacentral:lncRNA from 1 species